GUGUCCAGAAGUCUGUGGCUCUCUGGCUUUUUCACUUGGCUGGCUGCAGUUUCAUGGCUCUGACCUCAGAUCUCUAGCUGCCUCACUGUCAGAGUACCUCACUUCCCAGUUGCCUCUCCUCUGUCUUUUCUGACUGAGCCUUUUUAAGAACUACACUUUUUUUUUGUCUGACCCUUUGCUCCUGACCUAAUGACCUCAGUGCUAUCCUAGAUGACCACUUCUCACCCAAGAUCCCAUAACAUUUCGAAGCUGGAUGAGAUGGGCGAUUCUGGAAAGUGCUCAGUCCACCCCAGUAUCUUCACCUGAGCAUUCUACUUUGUUGACUGGAUCUGGCUCAUCAAGGGCUGAGGAAGUUCUUCAGGCAGAAUGAGGAAGAUAUAUAGAUGAACUAUCUGGAUAAGGAAAAGAGGAAGAACAUUUGAGACAAAUGGAUAGCUGGCAUGAAGUUUCCUCUUCUCCAGAACUAAGGGCUGCCACCUGUUCAGAGAACAAGUUCACUCUGGCUGGAAGUACACCACCUGGUCCCCUUUCCUUUGGGACCUGUCCUGGAAGACAUGUCUGCAGAGCUGAGUGAGGCUCCCUGCCCCGGCUGCUGUCCUGGCUUGCAGGAUCUGGGAACACAUACCCAGAAACAACUCCCCAUGCAUGCGCCCUGCCUUUCCUCACAUGCUUCCCAGAGAGCACAUAACAUACUUCAAGAAAACCAAAGAAAGAAAAAAUUGCCCUAAGAGUUCCGGAAUUGACCUCUGGCUACAAAGAGCAUUGUGACUGGCUUACAAAGUUAUACGAUUCUCUGACGAAACUCUUUGUGACCCAGAGCAACUACUUAAGAGUCUGUUACAAGGUGUACAGUGUAUUCUCUCUGUGAGCUUACAUCUGUGGGCUCCACAAAGGGCAUGCAUGCCAAAAGCCUGGGUACGUGGUAGUUCCCAGUGACUGAAUCUUCGCCCAUUGGAAAAGUGAGGAACAGAAGAAAAGUCAGGCAAAUAGUCUAUGAGCUGGCUAGGUUUGUGUGUCCAUCAUCCUCUUGGGUGAAAGGCCAAAGGAAUGAGGGACAUGUCCCAAGAAGUAUGGCUGGAGCCAUGCCACAAAGUCAUACAGCCUCUUGGUGCACUGCUCUGUGCAUCUCCAAGACUCAGUCAGUAUUACAUUGACUGAUUCACUUGGUUUGUCCCCACCAAGACUCCCUUACACAGUGAAAAUGAGCACAUGCCUUCCCUAGACUGGCUUCAUUAUGGACUGGAGGUUUGACUUAGUAGUCACCUACAGCCCAAAUCUGCUCUGUUCUUGUUUCCCAUGGCAGGACUUGUGGGACUCACUUGAUGGUCAUGAUUGUAGAUCGUGAUGCACAGUGCAGUGAUUGGCUCACGACAGCUCAGCCUUCUUGCCACAUGGGAGCUUCCUUCAAUAUGACUUGGUGCUCAACCACAUUCUGGGCCAACAGAUGCCAGGCCUUUCCCCAAAGCACAGCUUUGUCAGUCUCUCAGCCAUCUUUUGGUCUUCAAUAAGGAAAUACCAAUGGUACCUGGCUGUCUUGGAGGCUGACUGCAGCUGCCCCAUGUUUCCCUACUCUAAACUCAGACCAUUGUCAAGUCAAGAGCACAGAUCAGAACCUUGUCUUCUACCACGAGCCAGUACUGAAGUCAAUAAAUAUCCUGUCAGCAGUGUGGCCACAG
rnacentral:lncRNA from 1 species